UGAUUCGCUUGAGAGAGUGAACGUCUUGUUUGGCUGCAACUGCGAACAAGAUUUCAGAAAUUACAAGCGUAAAUGGAGCUGAGAAUUCUUGAAAUCGUCAGCCCUAACCGCCUUAACGUCGCGUAUAUAAAGGAAAAUGAUUUCUUGUUAGAGAUAUUGAGCUCUCAGGUCCAAGCCUUUGAGCCUCUGAGGUAAGAAACCGCUUCUCAUGCCUUUAUUUUGAUCGGCGAUAUUUACAUUUCCUCCUGCUAUAAAUUUCCCAAUGUUUAUGGCUUUUACCUUGCUUGGUGACCUCGCUUUUACCCUUUUAGCUUUAAUUCAGACUUUACAUGGCUCCUUUGUUCAUGUGUUACAUAUUUUGGGUUUAAUUUGGUCUGCAACUAUUUUGAGGCUGAUAGUCCUCUUUGUAUGUUGUAUGAAUUAUAGGGUUAAGAACUGAACAGAGCAGCUAUUCAGUCCUUGUUUCUUUCUAUUAGAUGUGAACUCCACAGUAGCUCUUGAUCAUUUUGGUAUAUAGAAUUUUGCACAAGCAAAUGAAGAUUUGUACUGUUAAGUGUUAACACUCCUUUGCUCAGGAGUUGUUAGUCAUCUUGCUAAGUUUGAUAUAAUUGAUAUUUAAAACGGGAUUGCAGUUAUCUUGAACUUUGCUUAAUUCACCAUCAGUUGGCCUUGAAGCUAAUUAAGGGAGGUUACAAUAUUAAAGCUUUGAUACCCAAGGGGCAAAAGCUAAUGUUGUGGUACUUGUGGCACUAGGUGGAUCAGUGUUUGCUCUCCUAAUAAUCUCUCUUUUUUUAGAA